rnacentral:rRNA from 1 species
GUGGGGAAUAUUGCACAAUGGGCGAAAGCCUGAUGCAGCGACGCCGCGUGAGCGAUGAAGUAUUUCGGUACGUAAAGCUCUAUCAGCAGGGAAGAUAAUGACGGUACCUGACUAAGAAGCACCGGCUAAAUACGUGCCAGCAGCCGCGGUAAUACGUAUGGUGCAAGCGUUAUCCGGAUUUACUGGGUGUAAAGGGAGCGUAGGCGGCGUGGUAAGUCAGAAGUGAAAGCCCGGGGCUCAACCCCGGGACUGCUUUUGAAACUAUCAUGCUAGAGUGUCGGAGAGGUAAGUGGAAUUCCUAGUGUAGCGGUGAAAUGCGUAGAUAUUAGGAGGAACACCAGUGGCGAAGGCGGCUUACUGGACGAUAACUGACGCUGAGGCUCGAAAGCGUGGGGAGCAAACAGGAUUAGAAACCCCGGUAGUCC